UUCCACAGCUGGCUUUAGUCUUUGUUCAGUUCAGAGGGUUGGCUGGGCCCCUUUCCAGGAAGAAGGCACUAGCAGUGUCCAAGAGCCCGGAGCAGAAUUAGACCAGUCUGCCCUCCCCUUGAUCACUGGUGUGGUGGGAUGGGAGGAUGGGGAGGUUGAGAGGAUGGGGGGUGGGGGAGACAGGAAAGACAGGCAACCAGAAUCAGACAACGAUAAGCUGACCUGCUGGUCCGGAAGCCCUGUGUGCUGCUCACCCCCAGCCACCAGCACCAGCCACCAGCCCUGGCACCGCUGGCUGCCUCUCCUACUGAGGCUGCUUUGCGGCCCCUCUCAGUGCUCAGCGGAAAGCUAGCAGGAACAUCAGCACGACAUUAAUGAUGAUGAGGAAGAGCAGGAUGACAAAGACCACCACACGCUGAGUCUCAGGGUUCAUGUUGCAACGAAGGAAGGAUUCUCUCCCGCUGAGCAAAGUGGAGAACCGAAGAGGGAAUACAUUCCAGAUCUGGGGGACAGCUUGUGCAAAGACAGAGGGAUCGGGAGAGGCAUCUAACGAUUCCAGAGUGUUGCUCAUGAAGUGGAAGUAAGAGAUAAUACCUUGCUCCCUGCCAAUCACCAUCAUGGAACCUCUGAGAAGGAGGGAGCAUUUCUAAAAACACACCAGAAAUGAGCCUUUUCAUGUAUGAAACGGGAAAGCUGAGAACCCAUCUUUAGAACUGCCUUAUGCCACUCCAAUCUGCAUUGAAAUUUGGAGGACCACAGCAUCCCUCUUGCAUUUCCAGUUAGCUGUACAGAAUAUACUCUAAUAAAUCUCAUUUAAACACA